GGUUAAGCGACUAAGCGUACACGGUGGAUGCCCUGGCAGUCAGAGGCGAUGAAGGACGUGCUAAUCUGCGAUAAGCGUCGGUAAGGUGAUAUGAACCGUUAUAACCGGCGAUUUCCGAAUGGGGAAACCCAGUGUGUUUCGACACACUAUCAUUAACUGAAUCCAUAGGUUAAUGAGGCGAACCGGGGGAACUGAAACAUCUAAGUACCCCGAGGAAAAGAAAUCAACCGAGAUUCCCCCAGUAGCGGCGAGCGAACGGGGAGGAGCCCAGAGCCUGAAUCAGUGUGUGUGUUAGUGGAAGCGUCUGGAAAGGCGCGCGAUACAGGGUGACAGCCCCGUACACAAAAAUGCACAUA
rnacentral:rRNA from 1 species